rnacentral:lncRNA from 1 species
UCAGAUUGCGGCGAUCUACUACCCGCAUAAAGGUAUUGUGUUCUGAACACAUUACAGUAAAGUAUUUACUGUUCAAAUUCGAAUUUCAAAUUUAAAUGCAUGCAUGCUAUAUAUCAUAUUUAAAUCCUAGUGUAGGAUAAAUUUUUAUUAAUUAAUUAGAUUAAUUAAUAAUUUUCACUGUAAAAUAGUGAUUUUGAAAAAGUUUUAAAAUUAUCAUUUUACCCCUGC